UAUUCCUGUACUUUCUAUAAAUGUGAUGGAGUGACGGGGGAGGAUAGCACUACCACUUAUUGGAUUGUGGGGUAAAUAGUGACUGGGUUAUGUAGGCAAAUCCGCAUAACUUAACCGGGAGCUAUGACGCAUAGUGAAAGGGCAACUAAGUAGCGAAUUGGAUGAUUCCAUACCUCUUAAAAAAGCUUCUAACAUAUAGUUUAUGGAAACCCGUACCGAGAACGGACACACGUCCCCAAGAUGAGUAUUCUAAGG
rnacentral:rRNA from 1 species